UACACUGUACUAUGAGUGCCUCAGUAUUACCGUUAUUGAUGGUAUAAGACGAUUAGGAACACUCAAAUAAUAAAUCUAAAAGAUUAGUUUAUAUAUAUCAAAUUUAUAAAAUAAUCUCGCAUCUAUCUGACACACACGACAAAAUGAUAACUUUCAGAUUUCUACAUCGCAUCUAUAAAACCACGAUCCAUUUAAAAAAGAAAAGAAAGAACGAAAUAGAUACUUAAUGCAUGUAAUCGAACUCGAAGGUAAAAUAUCGACAAAAAAGCUCCCUUAAAAAUAUUUCUAGGGAAAAAAUUAAUUGUCUUGAGAGAAAAUAUUUAUAACGACCGUCGUAACAUUUGUCCCCUACAAACAAACUAAACCCACCACUUCGAAUCGUAAUUCGAGAAAUCAAAUAUAAUUAAAACAAAAUGUUGUUUAAAUGUCGACGAGUUGCAUAGCGUAAAAAAAUAUUCUGACGAUCAAAUCGUCGUAGAGUAAAUAAAUAAAAAUUGCACACAUUAAAUAUUAAAAUACUUAUAAUAAUUAUUUUAUACAUUAUAACAGAUAAUCGAAUAAUAAUAAUUAGAUUAACAUAAAUAACAAGAAAAUUGUAGUUUCAUAUUAUGAAUUUUUGGAUUAUAAUAAAAGCCUAAGUUGGUCAAAUUUGAUCUUGAAAUUCAUUUCUACUUAAUUCUUUUCGCGCUGUGCUUCGCAUCUCAAAAGAAGCUGACUCAAUUAUAGGUCAACGGCAAGGUGACCGCUCACGUAAUUCGUUUUAAAAAAAAUAUAUAGAAAUGGCCCAACAGAAGUACGGCUUCCGUCGACUUCGCGUCGAAUAUCGUGCAGUAUUACAGCGACUUUUAUUCUACGCAUCGCGGAAAAAAAGAGCGCGUAACGAUUUUGCGUGACAACCUUCACCCGGAGACCAAAAUUGUUCGGGGAAAAAUUUUUCGACAAAAGCGUCGAGAAUUAUUAACGAACGCAUAUUCGAGUGAUAAAAUUGUUGGAAAAACCAAAACUUUUCGAGAGGGUAGAAUUUUGUCCGAGGGAAAAUCGAUAACGGACUUGAGACUUUUGGUGCUUUAAAUCCGUCACCGAGCGCGAGAUAGGCCCUGACAUUCGUCGGUAAUCGUAAAAAUUGGAACAGCAGAAGAGUGACAGAGGAGAGGAGCGCGUGUUUCAUGCCGAUUGUUAAACACCGAAGUGGCGCUUGUCACGCGAUUUAAUAAAUGCCAUCGAAAUUAAUGGGGGAGCGGGAAAGCGGACGAGACUUUCGUGAAGAAUGCCCUGCGUGCUAAACGACGCUUUGCGCCGUGACAUGACGUCAUCCAGGAUCACGAUUACUGGAUACCUAUAUACCUAAUAGUUAAUUACAGAAGUCACAGGAUAACAUUGA